GAUGAACGCUGGCGGCGUGCCUAAUACAUGCAAGUCGAGCGAACAGACGAGGAGCUUGCUCCUUUGACGUUAGCGGCGGACGGGUGAGUAAUACGUGGAUAACCUACCUAUAAGACUGGGAUAACUUCGGGAAACCGGAGCUAAUACCGGAUAACAUGUUGAACCGCAUGGUUCAACAGUGAAAGACGGUCUUGCUGUCACUUAUAGAUGGAUCCGCGCCGCAUUAGCUAGUUGGUAAGGUAACGGCUUACCAAGGCAACGAUGCGUAGCCGACCUGAGAGGGUGAUCGGCCACACUGGAACUGAGACACGGUCCAGACUCCUACGGGAGGCAGCAGUAGGGAAUCUUCCGCAAUGGGCGAAAGCCUGACGGAGCAACGCCGCGUGAGUGAAGAAGGUCUUCGGAUCGUAAAACUCUGUUAUUAGGGAAGAACAAAUGUGUAAGUAACUAUGCACGUCUUGACGGUACCUAAUCAGAAAGCCACGGCUAACUACGUG
rnacentral:rRNA from 1 species